rnacentral:rRNA from 1 species
AACCGAACGCCUACAAGCAGUCGGAGCUUGACUGGACUCCAAUGACAAGUAGAAGAAUCUGUGGUUAUGUGCCGCCAAAGCAACGGCGGGACGUAUCAUGGACGGCACAUUAGCGGCACUCACGCUCAUUUUUGGGUUGUGGGACAUGGCAGGCAAUCACUGUACAACCGGGUGCGUGGCGGCAAGCGGCGCGCAAGGUUAUAUAGCGGUAUCCGCCGGUUCGGUCUUUUUGAAUGAGGACCGGAUCGGGACGGAAAUCUAUGUAAGACGCGACACACGGCGGCAGUUUGGUCCGUUUCAGGCAACCUAUGGGGUGUCUGUGACCGACGACGGCUCUGUGUGGUUCGGGGCGGGACCAAGUUAUUCGCUCCCGUUUAAAUCAGACGCUAUAUUCGUUCAAUUGCAUACCAUGGCGGGUUUGUACCUCGCCGGGGACGGCGCCGAUCUUGGCGGCCCGAUCGAGUUUCGGUCGGGUGUCGAGGUUGGUUUUGUUGCGCAAAGCGGAAUGCGGUUUGGUCUUACUUAUGAUCACAGAUCCAAUGCCGAUCUAUACGCAGAUAACCCGGGGCUGGAGACGAUCCAGCUACGUGUGUCCGUGCCGUUCUAGUGUUUGUUAUUGGUGUCCAGUCUUGUGACGGCGUACCUUUUGUAUAAUGGGUCAACGACUUAGUCUCACAAGCAAGCUUAAGCCGAUAGGUGUAGGCGCAGCGAAAGCGAGUCUUAAAAGGGCGGAUGAGUUUGUGGGAUUAGACCCGAAACCAGGUGAUCUAGCCAUGAGCAGGAUGAAGGUUGGGUAACACCAACUGGAGGUCCGAACCAACACCCGUUGAAAAGGGUCUGGAUGACUUGUGGCUAGGGGUGAAAGGCUAAUCAAACCUGGAGAUAGCUGGUUCUCCGCGAAAGCUAUUUAGGUAGCGCCUCGGACGAAUACCUCGGGGGGUAGAGCACUGCAUGGAUGAUGGGGGCCCACAGCCUUACUGAGUCUAAGCAAACUCCGAAUACCCGAGAGUACUAUCCGGGAGACACACGGCGGGUGCUAACGUCCGUCGUGAAGAGGGAAACAACCCUGACCUGCAGCUAAGGCCCCUAAUUCAUGGCUAAGUGGGAAAGCAUGUGGGACGGCCAAAACAACCAGGAUGUUGGCUUAGAAGCAGCCAUCAUUUAAAGAUAGCGUAACAGCUCACUGGUCUAGAUAAGCUGUCCUGCGGCGAAGAUGUAACGGGGCUCAAGCCAUGAGCCGAAGCUCGGGAUGCACAGCGAUGUGCGUGGUAGCGGAGCGUUCUGUGAUAUAGUUCAUCAUGUCUUAUCCAUCUUCGACCAGUAAUGGCCGGGGUCGGGGACGGACAUGGAGAGCUUUCUGUGAAGCCGGGCUGUAAGGCAUCCGGUGGAGAGAUCAGAAGCGAGAAUGUUGACAUGAGUAGCGACAAAGAGGGUGAGAAACCCUCUCGCCGAAAGUCCAAGGGUUCCUGCUUAAAGCUAAUCUGAGCAGGGUAAGCCGGCCCCUAAGGCGAGGCCGAAAGGCGUAGUCGAUGGGAACCAGGUUAAUAUUCCUGGGCCAGUGGGAUGUGACGGAUCUCGACGGUUGUUUGCCCUUAUCGGAUUGGGUGGGCUGCUUAGAGGUUCCUGGAAAUAGCCCCACAUCAGACCGUACCCUAAACCGACACAGGUGGACUGGUAGAGUAUACCAAGGCGCUUGAGAGAACCACGUUAAAGGAACUCGGCAAAAUGCCUCCGUAAGUUCGCGAGAAGGAGGCCCCAUCUGUACGCAAGUGCGGGUGGGGGGCACAAACUAGGGGGUGGCGACUGUUUACUUAAAACACAGGGCUGUGCGAAGCCGCAAGGCGACGUAUACAGUCUGACGCCUGCCCGGUGCUGGAAGAUUAAGAGGAGGGGUGCAAGCUCUGAAUUGAAGUCCCAGUAAACGGCGGCCGUAACUAUAACGGUCCUAAGGUAGCGAAAUUCCUUGUCGGGUAAGUUCCGACCUGCACGAAUGGCGUAACGAUCUCCCCGCUGUCUCUAACGUGGACUCAGCGAAAUUGAACUGUGUGUCAAGAUGCACACUACCCGCGGUUAGACGGAAAGACCCCAUGCACCUUUACUCUAGCUUUGCACUGGCAUCAGGAUUGUGAUGUGCAGGAUAGGUGGUAGGCAUUGAAGCGGGGACGCCAGUCUUCGUGGAGCCACCCUUGAGAUACCACCCUUCGCACUCUUGAUGUCUAACCGCGGUCCGUCAUCCGGAUCCGGGACCCUGCAUGGUGGGGAGUUUGACUGGGGCGGUCGCCUCCCAAACAGUAACGGAGGCGCGCGAUGGUAGGCUCAGACCGGUCGGAAAUCGGUCGUUGAGUGCAAUGGCAGAAGCCUGCCUGACUGCAAGACUGACAAGUCGAGCAGAGACGAAAGUCGGUCAUAGUGAUCCGGUGGUCCCAAGUGGGAGGGCCAUCGCUCAACGGAUAAAAGGUACGCUGGGGAUAACAGGCUGAUGAUGCCCAAGAGUCCAUAUCGACGGCAUCGUUUGGCACCUCGAUGUCGGCUCAUCUCAUCCUGGGGCUGGAGCAGGUCCCAAGGGUAUGGCUGUUCGCCAUUUAAAGAGGUACGUGAGCUGGGUUUAGAACGUCGUGAGACAGUUCGGUCCCUAUCUGCCGUGGGUGCAGGAGACUUGAGAAGAGUUGACCCUAGUACGAGAGGACCGGGUUGAACGAACCACUGGUGGACCAGUUAUCGUGCCAACGGUAGUGCUGGGUAGCUAUGUUCGGACAGGAUAACCGCUGAAGGCAUCUAAGCGGGAAGCCCCCUUCAAAACAAGGUCUCCCUUGA